UGCCAGCAUCCGCGGUACUCCUGAGUGUGCGAUCGUUAAUCGGAAUUACUGGGCUUAAAGAGUUCGUAGGUGGUAGAAAAAGUUGGUGGUGAAAUCCCAGAGCUUAACUCUGGAACUGCCAUCAAAACCUUUCAGCUAGAGUUUGAUAGAGGAAAGCAGAAUUUCUAGUGUAGAGGUGAAAUUCGUAGAUAUUAGAAAGAAUACCAAUUGCGAAGGCAGCUUUCUGGAUCAUUAUUGACACUGAGGAACGAAAGCAUGGGUAGCGAAGAGGAUUAGAUA
rnacentral:rRNA from 1 species